CGGAGGUCCCGAGCGUUGUUCGGAUUCACUGGGCGUAAAGGGUGCGUAGGUGGUCGGGUAAGUCUGAUGUGAAAUCUCCGAGCUUAACUCGGAAAUGGCAUUGGAUACUAUUCGGCUAGAGGAUUGAGGGGGGACUGGAAUACUUGGUGUAGCAGUGAAAUGCGUAGAUAUCAAGUGGAACACCAGUGGCGAAGGCGAGUCCCUGGACAACUCCUGACACUGAGGCACGAAAGCUAGGGGAGCAAACAGGAUUAGAUACCCUGGUAGUCCUAGCUGUAAACGGUGCACGUUUGCUGUAAAAGGAAUCGACCCCUUUUGUGGCGUAGCCAACGCGUUAAACGUGCCGCCUGGGAAGUACGGUCGCAAGAUUA
rnacentral:rRNA from 1 species